AUACGGAGGGUGCAAGCGUUACUCGGAAUCACUGGGCGUAAAGCGCGCGCAGGCGGCUAUUUAAGUUGGAUGUGAAAGCCUACGGCUCAACCGUAGAACUGCAUCCAAAACUAUAUAGCUAGAGUGUGGGAGAGGAAGAUGGAAUUAGUUGUGUAGGGGUAAAAUCCGUAGAGAUAACUAGGAAUACCAAAAGCGAAGGCAAUCUUCUGGAACAUUACUGACGCUGAGGCGCGAAAGCGUGGGGAGCAAACAGGAUUAGAAACCCUAGUAGUCC
rnacentral:rRNA from 1 species